UCCUCGCUAGUAUAGCGGUCAGUAUCCCCGCCACCUGCCACGCGGGAGACCGGGGUUCGAUUCCCCGACGGGAAG
rnacentral:tRNA from 1 species